UCCUCGCUUUGGUUGGGCUCCUCUUGGU
rnacentral:piRNA from 1 species